AUGAAUGAGGUUCAGGUGGUGAUUGACACUCCUGACCACCAAUCAGUAGCGAGCAGGCACUAUUUAGAGUGGGUUGGUUUGAGCCUGGCAUGUGUCACGCCCGGAUCCUCCCCUUUUGCGGUUGCUAAAGACAUUUCAGCCUGUCUUUUCAGUGUGUGUCCCUGUUGGAUGCUGCUUUGGAUCUGUUUAUUGCCCUCCCUGCAGUUUAACAGCAGGUUAUUUGAAGGCUGCGUAUCCUGAGCGGUGAAUUGAUUCUCAGGAACUUAUCUAUCCGCGUUUGGAGCUGGGGUCCCACGGGUGAAAGGUCUUUGGUGGUGCUAUUUCUACAUUUGCUGUACGACACUUUUGACGUGUAUGAGUGGGUGUUUUGAGUUCACGGUGAGUUGUGUGGAAGUGUGCUUUUUGAUAAUUAGUGCUGAUCACUCCGGUGGGUAACUCCAGCCCUGUAUGCAAUGAUUUUAUGUUUUGUUCAUUUGGAAGUUGUGUAAAUUUAUUGUUUAAUAUUUUGUGUCCGAUUGUUUAUUUUUUGUUAUUUGUGUAAUUGUCACUGGACCAUAUUCACCAGCGAGAACAUUUUUUUUGUUUUAUAUUUUAAAGCUAAGUUUUCAAUAAACUUUGUAUUGUUUUAUACGA